GAUGAACGCUGGCGGCGUGCCUAAUACAUGCAAGUCGAGCGAACAGACGAGGAGCUUGCUCCUCUGACGUUAGCGGCUGACGGGUGAGUAACACGUGGAUAACCUACCUAUAAGACUGGGAUAACUUCGGGAAACCGGAGCUAAUACCGGAUAACAUGUUGAACCGCAUGGUUCAACAGUGAAAGACGGUCUUGCUGUCACUUAUAGAUGGAUCCGCGCCGCAUUAGCUAGUUGGUAAGGUAACGGCUUACCAAGGCAACGAUGCGUAGCCGACCUGAUAGGGGGAUCGGCCACACUGGAACUGAGACACGGUCCAGACGCCUACGGGAGGAAGCAGUAGGGAAUCAUCCGCAAUGGGCGAAAGCAUGACGGAGCAACGCCGCGUGAGUGAAGAAGGUCUUCGGAUCGUAAAACUCUGUUAUUAGGGAAGAACAAAUGUGUAAGUAACUAUGCACGUCUUGACGGUACCUAAUCAAAAAGCCACGGCUAACUACGUG
rnacentral:rRNA from 1 species